rnacentral:piRNA from 11 species
ACUAAAAUUGGAACGAUACAGAGAAG